AGCAAUAAAACUAAAAACAUCGCUUUAAAAUAAAGAAAAUUUUCAUGAUACAUAGUACUUUAUAAAAAAUCUACUCUUAUUUAUAACCGCAAGGGUUACCAUUAAGCCUUCUAAAGAAAUGAUAAUUCCAUAUCCCUUUUGCAUCAUGGAGAAGCAACAAAAACAUGGUAAGCUAAACUCCCGAAUGACUAUGAGCUACUAAUUUUUAAAAAUCAAUGUUUCACAAUUGAUAUACUAAUCUCUAGUAGUAGUAACAAGCCUUUCAUAUAGUCACAUAGCUGGUUUUUCUUUAAAAGUAUCAAAGUACUGGCUUAUAGUAUAAGUACAUAACCUAAUCCUAUAAAGCUCAACUUAUUGAGGACAAGCUCAAUAAACACACAAAAAUAUACUACUUCCAUAAAUUUUAAAGUAGGCUUAAAAGCAGCCAUCUAAUGACGUUUUAGCCAUUAAAGAUAAUAUACAAUAAUAUUUAUACACACAUAAUUUUAGCUUAAAAGAAAUUUAACAUAAAAUUUUUUUUGUUAUUAAACAGGCAUUCUAUUAGUAUUAACAAGACUACCCUUCAUAUAACUAAAAGAAUUUGAAACAUAAACACUUCCAUCUUCAAAUCUAUACAAAGCGAACUCGGCAAAAAAAUUCUCUGCCUGUUUACCAAAAACAUCGUCUUUUGAACCACCGUAAUAAAAGAUAAUGCCUGCCCAGUGAAAAAUUUUAAACGGCCGCGUUAGCGUGAGCGUGCUAAGGUAGCGUAAUAAUUAGCCUUUUAAUUGGAGGCCAGUGAAUGGCAAGACUAGGAAUAGCUGUACUUUGUAUACAAAAAAAACUUUUCGUCUAAGUGAAAAGACUUAGAUAACAAAGGAAGACGAAAAGACCCCGCGGAACUUUACCUUUUCUUAAACUUCUGUCCACAAACUUAAAGGUUUAAUAGGUUUGAUUGGGGCAAUCUUGGAACCAAUAAAACUUCCAAUUUUUUAAAAUAAACAUAUAAAAUUUAUUAAGGACUAAAAAGUAGUUACCCCGGGGAUAACAGCGUAAUCCAACUUAAGAGUACAGAUCGAAAGUUGGGUUUGCGACCUCGAUGUUGGCUUAAGGAUAUCCACAUAAGUGCAACCGCUAUGAUAGGAUAGUCUGUUCGACUAUUAUACCCUUACACGAGCUGAGUUAAGACCGGCGCAAGCUAGGUUGGUUUCUAUCUCCUUUACCUUAAAAAUUUUCUUGAUUGUACGAAAGGACCCCAAGAAGUGCAUUUAAUAAAAGCGUUUGUUAAAUAUUAACUAACCUAACUUCAACAUCCAC
rnacentral:rRNA from 1 species